UCCUUGGUGGUCCAGUUGUUAAGACUCUGUGCUGUCACUCCAGGGGGCUCAGGUUCAAUCCCUGGUCAGAGAA
rnacentral:tRNA from 1 species